rnacentral:lncRNA from 1 species
CCCCUUCCUCCCUCCUCACAUUUUUUUCGCUCAUGUCCUUGCUCUUGCCUAUAAACCCUAACCCUAAUCCAUGACCCCGUCCCAACUAAUUUACAGUGACCAACCAACCCCGACCACCACAACCACCGUCGAAUGAUUCGAAUCUGCUCCUCAAUGGAGGCCACUAACUCAAUCAUGGUGGCCCUGAGAGAGGGCUUCUGAGGUGUUCUUCAUCAAUUAAGGCUGUGCUUUGGAUCAAGGGUUUGCUGAAGAAGAGAAAAAGGAAAGUUACAUUUCCCUCUACAUAUCACUCCUAAUAUUUUAUCCAAAUACAGCGUAAGGUUUUGAUGAGAGAAAAAGGGAAAAGGAAAUGGAAAAAGUUGACUUUAAUGGCCAUUUAUUGGGAAAAAAGAAAAAAAAAUGGAAAAGUUAAAGAAUUCAACCCUUUUUUCUCACCGAAUAUUUAAUACAAACGCAGCCCAAGAGUAUUUGGGUUGGGAGUGACAAAGGGUGUGAAGGAAUUCGAGG